UCACGAUCACUUUGGCAUCACUAAAAGUGGAACUAUACGGAGAAGAAUAGCAUGGCCCCAUGUAAGGAUUACACAAUUUAGCAUUUCUUAAAAAAGGCCUUU
ensembl:snRNA U6 U6 spliceosomal RNA